GCCCGAAUCUACCCCAUAGUCAGUCCGAAGGUCGCCGCGUAAGCUCGCGGGCGAGCGCGACGUUUGCGUUAGCUGUGCGCUGUCGCCAUUGCCGCCGACGUUUUAUAUAUUACGUCUAACGUGAUUGUACGCUUCGCACAUACGUAUAUCUAUACGCGUAUGUACGUGUAUAUGUGUAAUAAUCGCGACGCAACAUAGAAGGAGAGAAGGAGAGAGAGGGAGAGGAGGGAAGAGAGAGAGAGAGAGAAAGAGAGAGAGAGAGAAAGAGAGAGAGAGAGAGCGCUAGUUUACCCACGCGUCUGGACGUCUAUUUCGUUGUUCACGCAUCGUCGUAAAUCGCGGAAGUGGUAUUCGUUUCGGUUUCGCGAGGGAGAUUUAGGUACGUCGGAAGGAGCAAAACGCAACGGAGCACAGCGAAGCGGCGAGCCGCCGAGUUGCCGAGCGACGGAGUAACGACGUCUAUCUACUCUCGAUGGUGAUGGUAACUCAUAUAUGCUGAGGCGAUAAUGAAACACUGAAGGAUCUCCACUCGCGAAAGUGGAUGAAGAAGGCAUGAAGAUGAGUGCUUGUAAGAAUUGAAGGGGAAAAUCUACACAACGAAUAGCAACAGCCUGCCUCGUCCAUUGCGACCAGCCACAUAUCUCACGUUAAGAUGAAACUUCUUUUUGGGCAAAUUCUUCUAUCAGACAUGCCUGGUCUACCCACGCCAAUAAAUUCAUCAAGCGGACCGUUAAACAUCCGGUAAAGAUGUACGCCUGGGGCUGUUUCUCAAAGCACGGAUUUAGUACUUUGCACACCUUUACAAAAAAUUUGGACACAAAAUGGUCAAAAUAUAUCAGAGGGUUUUGUUACCAUCUACCCAAAAGUGGUUUAGAAAGGAAAAUGAAAAUUGGCUAUUGCAAAAGGACAAUAAUCCAAAACAGAGUAGAUUUUAUACUGCGUGGAAACAAGAAAAUGAUGUUGACGUACUGGAUUGGCCUUCACAGUCGCCAGAUACAAGCCCCAUAGAAAAUGUUUGGGCGCUCAUGAAGUUUAAGCUCCGAGGAAAAAAGACAUGAGAAUUUUGCACAUGGCUAUUAGAAAAUAAAAGAAGACAUCCUGGUUUUGUCCUCUAAUUUUCUUUACAGACGAAUCAUAUUUUACUCGCGAAGGUGUGUUUAACAUUUAUAAUUCUCAUAUUUGGAGUGAUGAAAAUCCAAACGCAUAUCAUAUCAGUAGAUUCCAACAUAAAUUUCAAAUUAAUUUGUGGGCUGGAAUCAUUAAUGACCGAAUGGUAUUAUCUUACAUGUUAAUUUUCUUAUUAAAAUUAUCAUUAUAUUAAAUUAUUGUAUUCAAAGAAAUGUUAAUAAUAAUUAAUGUUAAUGUUGUACUAUUUUAGAUUGGACUAUAUGUUUUGUCACCGAGGUUAAAUGGAAAUGCAUAUUUCAAAUUUAUGAUAAACGAGUUACAACAAUUACUUGAAGAUGUUCCAUUAAAUGAGCGAUUAAAUAUGAUUUUUUAACACGAUGGAGCACCUCCUCACUUUACAAGAAGAGUCCAAAAUAUAUUAAACGAAACAUAUCCAAAUCGAUGGAUUGGACGUAACGGUCUAAUUAAUUGGCCACUGAGAUCCCUAGAUAUAACGCCAAUGGACUUCUUCCUCGGGGGCAUUUAAAACAACAUAUUUAUCAAGGCGAACCAAUUCAAAAUAAAGAGGAGUUGCAUAAUCGUAUUAACAAAAGAUUGGCAACAUUCACUAAUGAAAUAAUCAAAAAUUCUGGUCGUGAUUUAUUAAGACGAGCACAAUUAUAUAUACAAUCGGGUGGAUGACAUUUUGAGCAGCUUUUAUAAAUGGCCAAAAAAAAUAUUAAAAAUAUAUGAUUAUUGUUGACAUAAAUACUUUUGUCUUAAAGUUUCUUUAUAAAAUUUUAAUUUUUUAAAUAUAAAAUAUUUGAUUAUAUAAUAAUAUUUGAUUAUAUUACAUAAAAAAUAUGCGAUUUGAAACCUGUUAUAUUUUUAUUUUUUAUGUUUGACUUAGCUAUGAUCACGUAUUCAGA